rnacentral:sRNA from 1 species
CCAGACGCCUAGGCAAGAGCCCGCUGCGCCCCCUGCGCGCUCCUCCUGCUCGGAGCACGGCUCCUACCUGUAGAGUCCGGACGGGCGCUCCCUCCCCGGGCACCUACACCUUCUCCCCUUUCGGAAAUCUCCCGUCCAGCUACCCGGGUCUCGGACAGGCGGCACUGGGACCACGAGGCAGGGAGCCAGGCUUGAAGCAGGUGACAUGUAGACGUCCCCUGGUCCAGCCUCGGAACCUGAGCGCCCUUCUGCCUGGAAAGUUUGUGGCUAGGCGCCAUGGCCAAGAGCAGCUCCCUGAAUGUUCGCGUGGUGGAGGGCCGCGCGCUGCCUGCCAAGGACGUGUCUGGGAGCAGCGACCCCUACUGCCUAGUGAAAGUGGACGACGAGGUGGUGGCCAGGACAGCUACUGUCUGGAGGAGCCUGGGCCCCUUCUGGGGGGAGGAGUACACGGUGCACCUGCCUCUGGAUUUCCACCAGCUGGCCUUCUACGUGCUGGAUGAGGACACUGUCGGGUUUGUGGUUGGGGAAAGUGGAAUGUGUGGGUUAGGGACCCAAGCCUGGGCACCUGAGGGGAGAGGGGAUGUGGGUCCACAGCCCACGAGGGCGUGCCCUCCCACCCAGACCUUGACACCUGCCCCCACUUCUCUUGGGGCGGGGCAAAGGGGCCCCUGACUCAGACCUUCACGUGCCCGCCUUCCUGCAGGCACGACGACAUCAUCGGCAAGAUCUCGCUGAGCAGGGAGGCGAUUACAGCCGACCCCCGAGGGAUUGACAGCUGGAUUAACUUGAGCCGAGUGGACCCAGAUGCAGAAGUGCAGGGUGAGAUCUGCCUGUCAGUGCAGAUGCUGGAGGAUGGGCAGGGCCGCUGCCUUCGCUGCCAUGUGCUUCAGGCCAGGGACCUGGCUCCCAGAGACAUCUCUGGCACAUCUGACCCAUUUGCACGUGUGUUUUGGGGCAGCCAGAGCUUGGAGACCUCAACCAUCAAGAAGACUCGCUUCCCGCACUGGGAUGAAGUGCUGGAGCUGCGGGAGAUGCCAGGUGCCCCGUCCCCACUGCGGGUGGAGCUCUGGGACUGGGACAUGGUGGGCAAGAAUGACUUCUUGGGCAUGGUGGAGUUCUCUCCAAAGACCCUCCAGCAGAAGCCACCUAACGGCUGGUUCCGCCUCCUGCCCUUUCCCAGAGCCGAGGAGGAUUCUGGGGGGACCCUGGGUGCCCUGCGAGUGAAGGUACGCCUGAUUGAGGACCGCGUCCUGCCCUCCCAGUGCUACCAGCCUCUCAUGGAGCUGCUCAUGGAGUCUGUGCAGGGGCCAGCAGAGGAGGACACUGCUAGCCCCUUGGCUUUGCUGGAAGAGCUGACCUUGGGGGACUGCCGCCAGGACCUUGCCACCAAGCUGGUGAAACUCUUUCUUGGCCGGGGACUGGCUGGGCGCUUUCUGGACUAUCUCACCCGGCGUGAGGUGGCUCGGACCAUGGACCCCAACACCCUCUUCCGUUCUAACUCCCUGGCAUCCAAGUCGAUGGAACAGUUUAUGAAGCUCGUGGGCAUGCCCUACCUGCACGAGGUCCUGAAGCCUGUGAUUAGCCGCGUCUUUGAGGAGAAGAAGUACAUGGAGCUGGAUCCCUGCAAGAUGGACCUGGGCCGCACCCGGAUGUGAAGUACCUGGCCAUCAGCGGAUUUCUCUUCUUGCGAUUCUUCGCGCCUGCCAUCCUUACCCCAAAGCUGUUUGACCUUCGGGACCAACACGCGGACCCCCAGACUAGCCGCUCACUGCUGUUGCUUGCCAAGGCUGUGCAGAGCAUCGGAAACCUGGGCCAGCAGCUGGGCCAAGGCAAGGAACUGUGGAUGGCCCCCCUGCACCCCUUCCUGCUGCAGUGUGUCUCACGUGUGAGAGACUUCCUGGACCGGCUGGUGGAUGUGGAUGGGGAUGAAGAAGCUGGUGUCCCAGCCAGGGCCCUGUUCCCGCCCUCGGCCAUUGUUCGAGAAGGCUAUCUGCUGAAGCGCAAGGAGGAGCCUGCCGGCCUGGCCACGCGCUUUGCCUUCAAGAAGCGCUACGUCUGGCUCAGCGGGGAGACCCUCUCCUUCUCCAAGAGUCCUGAGUGGCAGAUGCGACACUCCAUCCCCGUGUCUCACAUCCGCGCCGUGGAGCGCGUAGACGAGGGCGCCUUCCAACUGCCCCACGUGAUGCAGGUGGUGACGCAGGACGGCACGGGGGCGCUGCACACCACCUACCUCCAGUGCAAGGUGAGACCCCACCGCGAUGGGGAGCGGGGGGCGUCCCUCUGUUCCCACCCGCCCCCUGAUCGCCUCCCACCCGCUGCAGAAUGUGAAUGAGCUCAACCAGUGGCUCUCGGCCUUGCGCAAGGCCAGCGCCCCCAACCCGAACAAGCUGGCCGCCUGCCACCCCGGUGCCUUCCGCAGCGCGCGCUGGACCUGCUGCCUCCAGGCUGAGCGCUCAGCCGCCGGCUGCAGCCGUACACACUCGGCUGUCACCCUGGGGGACUGGAGUGACCCACUGGAUCCUGAUGCUGAGGCCCAGACAGUGUAUCGGCAGCUGCUCCUGGGGCGGGACCAGCUCAGGCUGAAAUUGCUGGAGGAUUCUAACAUGGAUACAACUCUGGAGGCAGACACAGGGGCCUGUCCUGAGGUCCUGGCCCGGCAAAGAGCAGCAACUGCCCGCUUGCUGGAGGUGCUCGCAGACCUGGAUCGUGCCCACGAGGAGUUCCAGCAGCAAGAGCAAGGGAAGGCGGCCCUGGGCCCCCUUGGCCCCUAAGGAAAUGCCAGAGCUAGCCCGGAAGGAGGAGCAAGAGCCAG